ensembl:lncRNA LINC00964 long intergenic non-protein coding RNA 964
ACAUAUGCAGCAUGACCAGUGGAAGCUUCGAAGAGCUAUUGCCAAUUUCCACCCUCUCUCUGGAAACUGUCAUUAGGGUUAGGGAAACUGUCAUGAGAUCUGCAUAUUUUAGAUAGAGGCUGCUUGCCUUAUUUGGGCACCUAAUGAAAAAGACAUGGAGGCCAGGUGCGGUGGCUCAUGUCUGUAAUCCCAGCACUUUGGGAGGCCAAGGCGAGUGGAUCACCUGAGGUCAGGAGUUCGAGACCAGCCUGACCAACAUGGCAAAACCCCGUCUGUACUAAAAGUGCAAACACAAAGGGAACUGCGUGGCUUGUUUCUACCUGAACAUUGUCAAGUGAUUUCAUCCUUUGAAACACAGUUGUGAAGUGUGUCCAGCAGUCUGAGAACAAGAAGAAGAAGAAAAUCUAAUCCUUCAGGGUGUCUGUGUGCCAGCCCUGCUCUCAGCACUUCCCAUGUGGAACUCCUUUACUUCUCCUAACAACUCCAUGACAUGGGUUAGACUGUGAUUGUUCCCAUAUUGUUGGUAGGGAAACUGAGGCAUGCAGGUGUUACAGAGCUCUCUCAAGUGGCAAGCUUUCUGGGUGGUUACAGAGUGGCAGAGCUGGGGUAUCCCAUGAUGUCACCACACUGCUAUAUGGAAAAGAACAUUAAUCGAGCACCUACGUGCUUGAUUCUCUUAAUUCUGUGACUGAACUCUCAAAACACCCUGGGUAAGCACUAUCAUCUCCUAUUUUCACAAGUGAAAAAACUGGGAUUCAAAAAAAUUAAGUGACUUACCAAAUAUUACAGAGCUAGUAAGCCAAGACUUGAACACUGAGAUGGAAUUCUACCUUUUAAGGUGGCUAAGCAACAGAAGGAUGUUCCUUUCCCAAGGGGGUAAGAAGCAGUGGCCAUGUUCAGCACAAUUGUCCUAUCACAGGUUCAUGGCAGGGACCGAGCAGUGAGGAUGGGCACUGCCCUGUGUCCUAGCAGAGGGCUGCCUUCUGGCUCCCCAGCCUUGGCCAGCAGCCCUUCUAUCUUCAUGCCAUGACCUAUUUUUGUUCACCCAGUUAGUGUAUGGCCUAUUUCUUUCCUUAAGAAUUACUUCAUAACUUUCACAGAGUAAUAGCACAUGCUGAGCACAGCAUUCAUGAACUUGGACACACGCACACAAAAUGUCCCUUUAAAUUCACAGAGCAGUAUCUGAGAUCCAGGUAGAAAGACCAAAAGGAAAAUUAAGAACAGACUCUCAGACCUGCCUUCCCUUUGCAUUCAGGUUGGUUUCCUUUUUACAACUGCCCAAGUCAUGAGUUCAUAGGGCCUGGAUGGCUGUACCGGAUUGCUCUCCAGCUGGUCUCUCUGCAUCCAGAAAUUUCUACAACCUACUGGGAGCACUGCGUGUUUUGAAAUAUACAAAUAGUGGGAAACGAAAUCUUUGUUCUGGAUGCAGUUAUAAUUUGGAAAGCGAGGAAAUAAAUUAUAACAAGGGGAAAAAACAGACACAGAGGGAUUGAAAUGCAUAACAAUAGAGAUGAAACACGAAGAGUGAUAAAUGAAGAUUGAGUGUGCACACCUUCUGGAGGAGCCCUGAUUGAGUAUUUUAAAAUACUACUAAAGUCAUGCCGUGUGACUUCUGAAGCUAGCUCCUAAGAAGUCCUUGCAGCUUCUGCCUGCGACUCUUAGAACACUUGCUUUGAAGGAUGCCAGAUGCUGUCUUAAAAGUCUGAGCACUCUGAAACCAUCAUGCUGUGAGGAAGCCCAAGCUAACCACAUGGGCAAAAAAGAUGCCCUCUGACUGCCACCAUUUGAGACACUCUAAUUAAGAACUGCCUCAUUGAGCCCAUGAGGCCCUGUGAAUGAUAAUAAUAAAUUGUUUUUAACCACUA